UGGAUUGGUGCCUUCGGGAACUCUGACACAGGUGCUGCAUGGCUGUCGUCAGGCUCGUGUCGUGAGAUGUUGGGUUAAGUCCCGUAACGAGCGCAACCCUUGUCCUUAGUUACCAGCACGUUAUGGUGGGCACUCUAAGGAGACUGCCGGUGACAAACCGGAGGAAGGUGGGGAUGACGUCAAGUCAUCAUGGCCCUUACGGCCUGGGCUACACACGUGCUACAAUGGUCGGUACAAAGGGUUGCCAAGCCGCGAGGUGGAGCUAAUCCCAUAAAACCGAUCGUAGUCCGGAUCGCAGUCUGCAACUCGACUGCGUGAAGUCGGAAUCGCUAGUAAUCGUGAAUCAGAAUGUCACGGUGAAUACGUUCCCGGGCCUU
rnacentral:rRNA from 1 species